CACCAGACUCCUACGGGAGGCAGCAGUAGGGAAUCUUUCACAAUGGGCGAAAGCCUGAUGGAGCAACGCCGCGUGCAGGAUGAAGGCCUUCGGGUUGUAAACUGCUUUUAUAAGCGAGAAAUAUGAUGGUAACUUAUGAAUAAGGAUCGGCUAACUACGUGCCAGCAGCCGCGGUAAUACGGAGGAUGCGAGCGUUAUCCGGAUUUAUUGGGUUUAAAGGGUGCGCAGGCGGAGGUGCAAGUCAGCGGUCAAAUUGCGGGGCUCAACCCCGUACUGCCGUUGAAACUGCAUCCCUUGAGUGCGCGAGAAGUAUGCGGAAUGCGUGGUGUAGCGGUGAAAUGCAUAGAUAUCGCGCAGAACUCCGAUUGCGAAGGCAGCAUGCCGGCUCCACACUGACGCUGAGGCACGAAAGCGUGGGUAUCGAACAGGAUUAGAUACCCUAGUA
rnacentral:rRNA from 1 species